GAAUCGCGCCCACCCCGCCGGAGGCCACGCCCCCAAGGAGACUGCCCCGCCCGUUCCCACAAAACGCCCCGCCCCCGCCGGAGUCUGGCCGGGUCCUUGGAGCCCCACUCAGCCCGAGGCACGCAUCCAGGUGGCCGCUCCUAAUGGGCAGCGGGGAGUCGACUGAUCCCGAAUGUUGGACCUGCGUGUGCAUCCGAGCCCGCCGAACGCAUUUGUUCAGGUGGGGACCCCGAGUCUGGAGAGGUCCGCGGGCAAGACAGGACAGUCGCCUUCUCUGGUCCCCCUUCUUCAGCGUCGUGGACGAGUGCUGUCUCACAGCACAGGAGUCUUGCAGAGCCCCCGCCCAGGGAUCGAACUCACGACUGCCUGCUAACAAGGCAGGUGCUUUAUGCCGCUGAGCUAAAUCCCCAGCCCCAGAGAAGAUGCCCUCUUUCCAGCACCCACACUCUGCUGCUGUCCCAAGUGCCUGACCGUUGAGACGGAAGGAUGUACCCGGUGGUGACCACCCGGUGGUGAAGAGGGCAGAGUGGGACUUCUGACACAGGGACACUAUGUCUGGGAGGAAGCCUCCUCUAUCUCAAAGGACACUAGGAGACUGCAUUGGGCAGGAAAAGACAGGCUCUGUCAACAAGAUGUGCAGAACUUUAUAGUAAAGAGAAGAGAAAAGAAAGAGGGUCAUAAGUCCGAAUAGUGGGUCAUUCGUCUGAGCAGUGGGGCACAAGUCUGAGCAGUUGUGAAACAAAUAGGUUAAAGGAGGAAUAUCUGUAACUGCCAAGAAAGCUGUAGGGAAAGGAAGGAACUGCAGGGACUUUGAGAGGUCAGUGCAAGAGGAGGUGACAUUUCUGCCCCAUCAUGAAGGAGCAGGAGAAGAGGCAUGCAGACUUGGGUAAGUGACCCUGACAGGGGAGAACUUGAUGGCAGGGGACAUCAGGCCCAGGGCUGCCAGUAUAGCAUGGUGAACAGGGCGGGAGAUGCAGAGGGCUGGGCACUGCUGGAUAGGGGUUCGCUCCCAGUGCAGGGAAGGGACCGGCUGGAGCAGGAGCAGGUGUGCCAGGUGGAAACCAUCGGCUCAAGUUGCCCACAGGUCUCUUGCUGUCCUCUUCUUUCAGGGCCAUUCCUUCCCCUUCUGUCGGAGUGCUGGGACUUUAGUUCUGGUCCUGUCACCCAUAGGAGCCAGCUGUACCCAAGAGGAGGAUAAGGGCCAAGGGGCCUCUCCGAUGGCCAGACCCAUGAAGUGAAGCAUGUGCACGCACACUCACACACAUGCACACACAAACCUGCUGUCACCUCCAGUGAGAACUCAGCCUUCACCCUGGGAGAGCACUUCCAGCAGUUUCUCCACGAGGGGGCAGUGUGGCCCCCAAGCUUGGGGACCAUGGUCUCCAGCAAAACCCAGAUGAGUGCUGAGCUUGAGGGGUCCCCUUCAUCUUGUAGUGCAGCACUCAUCAUCCUGGCUAACCUGGAUCCAGGGUAAAUGGAGUUAAGUAGUCUGCAUAUGGUUCCCCUCCCAUGCCCCAGCGGAAGUGCACCCCCAUUCUCCUCCACAGGGGGGCAGUACGCAGGACCAAGGGUCUGUGCCCACCUCAGCCAGUGCCCACUUCCUGAAGACUUGUGUCCAGCUCCUUGUGUCCAACUCCACCCCGUGCUGGGCAAGUGGCACAUGGGUGCAGCCUGUGGAGGGCACAGACACAAUGCCCUUCUGAGGACAACCCCCCCACCCAGCUCAAAAACACCGAAGAGCGGGAAGAGAGCACAUGCAGUUCACACACCUGGCACAGUCAGACACAGGACAGUGUGUGCCCCUCUCCCCAGAUGUCAACUCCGUGACUGUCUUUCUUUUUGUGGUGCUGGGCUUGGAACCCAGCCCCUUUCCACAUGCUGGGCAAGGAUGCUCCCUCCAGCCAUAUCUCUGUCCUAAAUUCUGUGGCCCUUCCUGCCUGGCACUGGCCUGGGAGAGCAUCCAGGCCAGCUGCGGGACCUGUGUCCUCCCAGCUCACCUUGCUGGAGUAGCAGGGAGGAUUCCUCACUCACAGGGCCUCAAAGGCCAGCUGUGUCCACCCCUGGCCAGGUGAGGGGGUGGCAGCUAGGCAGGGACGGCGGCAAUGAGUGGGAGGUGUGAGCAGACUCCAUCCAGGAGCAAGGGGAUCCAGGAGCAAGACCUGCAAAUUUAGGAAAAACUAGUGUCCCACAAAAGGACCAGAGGCAGGGCUCAGGUGGUGGACAGAGGUGGGGUUGGGAGGGUGGGCAGCAAGGAGAAAUGCAGAACAGAAGCCAUAAGGAUGGGGAUACCCAUGUGGGUGGGAGGACCCCAGAUUCCUUGGAGUGAGGUGGGAGCCUUGCUCAAAUCUGAGGGGACCCAGGGCAGAACAACAGUGGCCCAGCUCUGAGCCACGGCUACCGAGGUGGUGACCGGAAUCUGGGCUGCCGAGAUAGCAGAUUCCUCUCAGACAGGGUGGCUGGGAUGAUCCUGAAUCGAGAGGUCCUGUCCUAAUCCACAGUGCCUCGCCUGGCUGGGAAACUCAGGAUAGAACUGAAGUUGCUGAUUGGCUCUGCUAAGGUCUGGAGAAAGCCUGGGCUGCAACUUGCCUGCAUCCCCCCUGGGAGGAAGGAGGCAGAGAGAGACCAUGGGUGAGGGCCGAGGGCACAGCAGCCAGGGCCUUGGCCUGUGCCCAAGCCAGGGAGGCUGAAAAGGACCCCAUGCACCUGCCGUCCCCAGCACCCGGCAUAGGGGUGUUUUCGGGCUGGUGACGCUGGGCUGGUGCAGGAAUGAAUGUCUGGGGAGGUGCAGGAAAGGGUCCUCCCUGCUACCCUAAGCCUGGUUGUGGGUCCCUCUCUGUCUCCUGCCACACACCUGGUCCCCAGGAGCCCCUCAUUUUGUUCUGCUUCCCAACCACAUCUAGAACCAAGCUAUCUUCCCCAACACCCCAACCCAGGAGCAGCACGGCUCCAGCCACACACUUGGCCUUUCUUGGGCUGGGGAGCAACCCCACUGCCUCCUCCACCCCACAUGGGAGAGCCAGGCCAGGUUCCCAAGGAGGACUGAGGCCCCAGCUGCCUUUGACAAAUACUGGCCGCAGGCAUAGGACAGAGAGAGUGUUGCUGUGCCCUGGCAGCCCAAGCAACCUGUCUCCUCCUGGACCUUGACGUUUGUGACAGAGGCUGCUCUUGCAUUAAACACAUUUGUGUCAAGUGCCCAGGACCACCUGUCUACGGACGGGUGACAUGCCCAGAGCAGGAGGUGACACAGAGACCUGAGCCUCACAGUGCUAGGGCAAUAUGGGGACGGCAGAUCAUGGACCUUAAUGCCUCUCGCUCCUCCUCAGAGCCAUUUCCCUCCUCCGAAGCCCCACUGCUUUGCAGACCCAGCAGGGCCUUCUGCUCAGCCUCUGAAGGCACCACAGGUGACCUGGGUGGCACCUGGGUGUCCAGGGUAGGGAAAAUGUUCCUGCAGGUUAGAAUGCUGAUGACAAAACUCAGCACUGACCAGGGUUACAGCCAGCACGGGCUACACAGUGAACUCAAGGCCAGCCUGGGGCACAUAUGGAGACUGUCUCAAAAAAAAAAAAAAAAAAAAAAAAAGGAAAAAGUAAACUAAAAACAAAAGUGACAUUUAUUGACUCAGGGGAACAAGAGGGUGAGCAGGAAAGGAAGAGUUACUGUUAGGUUGUGUGGUUAAGGUGUAAAGAGAAUUCACCUGAAGACACAGGGUCAAGCCCUGCUUAUGGGUCUGAGGCACACAGUGACAGUGACAAUGGUGACACCAGCAGCAGAGGUCAGGAAGCAGCAUCGAGUGUUAUUUCUGGAUAUGGAAGUGAAACCAGAACAGGGCUGAGCUAAGUGUGGCUUCUGGAGACAAUGGCGGGGGCAGCCCCAAAUUUUGCAGGAAGCCUUGAGAACUUUAGGAGUCUCUCACUUGGGAUGGAAAACAGAAACCGACUGUAAGGAGCCUACCUCCUGGAAAAGGGGCAGGACUCCCCUCAGUUUCCGACAGCCCCCUAGGUCUCUGAUAUCACAGUGCUCACCACCUAAGUCACACCUGUCAUAGGCCUCAGCUUCCCCUUGCAGACCCCAUGCCACCUGGCAGUUCUGAGGGUGGCAGGCUGGGUGCCAGGAGACACAGCGGGCAUGGUGGCCUCUGUGUGUACAAACACCCAUCUCUCUCCCCAUGGGCCAGAUGUGGGACCCAGACCAGGACAGAGUGCUUUUGAGUUCUAAAUCAGGCCCUGUGGAGCAAGAGCGGGGGCUUGGGUAUAAAUAGAAAUGGGGCAUGCGUGGGUGAGUUCCUCCACCCAGGGCCGGUGGGACAGGACUUCCCAGUGGGGCCUGACAUUGUCACACUAGGUGAGAAAUGGAGCCAAAGAGGGCAAAGCUGAGGCCAUUCAGGUGGGGACCUGGCACAAGCCCUUCCUUGCCUCCAGACUAUGUCUAGGCAUCUGGGCCCAGCUUGGCUCUCCAUCCCUGGGAAUCCUAUUCGGCCCUCUGACCCCUCAAAGUGACAGAGGCCAGACUGAGACAGAUCUUCAGGCUAGGGCCACCUGCAGAGCUGUGUGCAGGACAGCAACAGGACCACAGGCUAGGGCUUGGGGACAGAGGAGCUGCAGUUGGGGUGGCUGAGCCUGAGCCUGGCCUUGUGUUCCCAUCUCUAGCCUGGCACACAGCUGUCCCUGGAGCCCUCUCAUGUAGCCUCCCCAGGAGCAGUGGAGGAGUGGAAGCCCUAGCCUCCCUGCCAGGUGUGUGCCUCCCCAGACCUCUUUCCAUCCUUGGACACUGCCCCCUGCUCCCUCCCUUGUACUGUGGGCUGGGACCCCAUGGGUCCACUGUUGUGCUCUGGGGUAGAACCAGCCCCACCAAGGCCAGUAAGCAGCACUUGGGGAGGCCCAACAGGCAGCCUGGAAUUGGGCUAUUUGAUCCCAUCCUGGGGCCUCUGCUGGACAUGGAGGCGGAUGGGCAGCUGUGCCUUGUGGCCAUGGCAGGAUCAGAGGAGGACAAGGGAGGAGGGAACAGGAAGGUAAACACUUUUAUUUUAUUUUAUUUGUACCAGGGAUCAAACUCAUGACUUUGUACUUGCCAGGCAGGCACUUACACCACUGAGCCAAAUCCCUGGCUGUGUGAAUACUUUUAAAAAGAGAAAUAAAGAAUGUUUGGUUUUUUUGUGGUACUGGGGAUUGAACACAGAGCCUUCA